rnacentral:rRNA from 1 species
AUUGAACGCUGGCGGCAUGCUUUACACACGCAAGUCGAACGGCAGCGCGGGCUUCGGCCUGGCGGCGAGUGGCGAACGGGUGAGUAAUGCAUCGGAACGUGCCCAGUAGUGGGGGAUAGCCCGGCGAAAGCCGGAUUAAUACCGCAUACGACCUGAGGGUGAAAGCGGGGGACCGAAAGGCCUCGCGCUAUUGGAGCGGCCGAUGUCGGAUUAGCUAGUUGGUGGGGUAAAGGCUUACCAAGGCGACGAUCCGUAGCUGGUCUGAGAGGACGACCAGCCACACUGGGACUGAGACACGGCCCAGACUCCUACGGGAGGCAGCAGUGGGGAAUUUUGGACAAUGGGGGCAACCCUGAUCCAGCCAUGCCGCGUGCGGGAAGAAGGCCUUCGGGUUGUAAACCGCUUUUGUUCGGGAAGAAAUCCUCUGGGCUAAUACCCCGGGGGGAUGACGGUACUGGAAGAAUAAGCACCGGCUAACUACGUG